UGCAAGGCAAUAGUGUUAUAGGUAAGCAGUGUGUACAGAGGGCUAUGAAGCUGUAUUCCUUCGCACGCAACGCAGUCCCAUCGUACUAGGAAAUCGUGUUGUAGGUAUGUAAAGUGUGCAAAGGACUGAAGUCUUUUGCACACAUUGCGGGCCUAUGGAACUUGAACGCAGAGCAUGAGAGUUUUCAGUAAUGGCUCUUUGAUGGAAUUGCGUGCUGUGGUUGGCUAAUUCUAGGGCAUUAUUCUCCCAUAAUAACCACGGGCCAAUUACGGGCCUGCAAAAGCAAAACGAAAAGCCAUAUAAUAAACAACUAAUUAACCUCAAAUGUUUGAUCUGAACAGGAAAAUCUCAAACCUCGGCCUUGCCAUAUUGACUGAUCGAUCGGUUUGAGAUUUCCCUGUAAAGACCUCACUCUUGGUUAAUAAGUAGUUAAAAUUGCUGACAUAGCUCUCUUGAUGAUAUCAUGUAAAAUGCUUAUUAUGGGUGAUUGCAGCAGAGUCUGAAACAAGAACAGAGGUAUUGUUGAAAGAUCAACAAUGAUUGUCAUAAAUUAUUUUCUGCAUUACCAUCUAUUGCAGAAAACAAGUUGCAUGCUAUUUGCUCGGAGCUUCCUUCGUGGGAAUACAUUAGCUACAAAGCUUCUUGCUUCUACUAUGGAUUUUGUGUUAAGAGGUACCCAGAAAGUGCUGUUUCUUAAACACGAGGGUUAUCUUGGCGCAUGUGGUGCUUUACUUAAAUUAAUGAAGAGCAUGGAGGCAGACAAAGAUCUUGUAAACUGUGGCUCAAUAAAUAGGUCAUAAACCCCUUUGUUAUAGACACACAUUCCCUUUAGUUACUAGUGCCCUCAAAGAACAUUGCUUCAAACACAAAUAGCAAGUAAAUGAGUCUACAUGUAAAGCAGACAUCAAAGCGUUUAAUCAGAUAGGCAGUGUUAGGGAUUUUUUCUCUUAAUGUUUAUUCACGUGUGCAGUGUGCAGUGUGAUGCUUGCUUUUUUUUCCUUACAGUUUUUUGUUCUUUCGUAAAUUCAGAUUGUAUUAGGUCAAGUCAAUACAGCAAACCAAGAAAAUGCUAUUUUACAAUUAUAACACAAUCAUUUUUAUGUAACAUGUACAUUAUUCAUUAGACUUUAGUAAUAACAUUCAAAAACACAUUCAGCUGUACAUAUUACAAAUAAGUCAACUGUAAGUUACAUGUACAGGUUUCCUUGCAUUAUACUUAACAUGUAAAACAUAAAUACAUUGUCUAGUUUUGUUAUUAAAGUUCAUCUUUUUUAUUCACAAAGGUGCUCUUGUUUAAAACACUCUGAACUUGCUAAACUCUAAUAGAUUGAAUUUACAUAUUUUUAAAUAUUAGUUGUGAAUAAAAACUGUAAACAUGUCACAAAUACUAAACAUUCUCACACUUACGAAUCCAAUUCAUCAUAGAUACAAAACUCCCGACAAUAUUAAGAAUCCUGCACCCCCCCCCCCCCC